AUUGGACGCUGGCGGCAGGCCUAACACAUGCAAGUCUACUUGAUUCUACUUCGGUAGUUGAUGGUGGCGGACGGGUGAGUAACGCGUAAAGAAUCUGCCCUUUAGUUUGGGAUAACCUUUGGAAACGAAGGCUAAUACCGGAUAUUAUGGAGACGUCGCAUGGCGACUCCAUGAAGGCUAUAUGCGCUAGAGGAGGACUUUGCGUCCCAUUAGUUAGUUGGUGAGGUAAUGGCUCACCAAGACCGCGAUGGGUAGCCGGCCUGAGAGGGUGAUCGGCCACAAGGGAACUGAGACACGGUCCUUACUCCUACGGGAGGCAGCAGUGGGGAAUAUUGGACAAUGGGCCACAAGCCUGAUCCAGCAAUUCUGUGUGCACGAUGAAGGUCUUCGGAUUGUAAAGUGCUUUCAGUAGGGAAGAAAAAAAUGACGGUACCUACAGAAGAAGCGACGGCUAAAUAUGUGCCAGCAGCCGCGGUAACAC
rnacentral:rRNA from 1 species